AUGGCCAGAGAAAGUCGUCCAAGGAAAUUGGUAAAUUCGAGAUAUGUGUGUGUGUAAUUUAUAUGAUAGCCGUUUCACUGCUCUUUGGUUGUAUUUAAUUUUGAAAAGAAAAAAAAAAAAACUAAUUUCAGGAGGAAGGUGAUGAUGAUGAUCGAAUUCGGGAGCUCCCAACCGAAAUCAUAUUCCCUCAUAUACUCCCACGGCUACCAGCAGAGGAUCUGAUGACGCGGUGCAGGUGCGUAUGCAAGUCUUGGUCCUCCCUCAUCCACAGCCCUUUCUUUGUCGCCGCCUUCUCCAACUUUCGCAAGAGCACCACUAACUUCAUUUUCAAAAACGGUAACCGCUUCUUCUCUUCAAAAAUAGAGGAGGAGCAACAAGGAGAGGGAGGAGGGAAUAAAUAUAAGGUUCCAAUUCCAACACCCCUCGCAGAAAUUUCAUACCGGAAUGGGUGCAUAGCUCUCGACCAUUACAACACUAAUGUUCAUAAACUGCAGAGCGUCCAUGGCUUGGUUUGUUCAUCCUUUAAGUGUGGCCCUGUUUUCAUACUUAACCCUACUACUCGAGAGUCCAUUCAACUUCCCCAUGUAAAUACCCGUGGAUUUGAUACAUAUCACUUUGGCUUCACUCCACUUACCAACGAGUAUAAGGUUCUCCAGGUCAUCUCAUCCUGGGAACUUGGAAAAUGGAAUCAUUGGUUGAACGUAUACACCCUAGGCCUAGGUAGGGAUUCUUCGUGGAGGCCAUUGCAGGUAGACCCUGCAAUGGAGAUAUGGACCUUACACACAGGCACAU
rnacentral:lncRNA from 1 species